rnacentral:rRNA from 1 species
UGGGGAAUUUUGGACAAUGGGCGCAAGCCUGAUCCAGCCAUGCCGCGUGCAGGAUGAAGGCCUUCGGGUUGUAAACUGCUUUUGUACGGAACGAAAAGACUCCUUCUAAUAAAGGUCGUCCAUGACGCUACCGUAAGAAUAAGCACCGGCUAACUACGUGCCAGCAGCCGCGGUAAUACGUAGGGUCCGAGCGUUAAUCGGAAUGACUGGGCGUAAAGGGUGCGCAGGCGGUUAUAUAAGACCGGUGUGAAAUCCCCGGGCUCAACCUGGGAACUGCGUUUGUGACUGUCGAGCUAGAGUACGGCAGAGGGGGAUGGAAUUCCGAGUGUAGCGGUGAAAUGCGUAGAUAUGCGGAGGAACACCGGUGGCGAAGGCGGUCCCCUGGACCUGUACUGACGCUGAAGCACGAAAGCGAGGGGAGCAAACA